GACGAACGCUGGCGGCGUGCUUAACACAUGCAAGUCGAACGGAAAGGCCCUGCUUUUGUGGGGUGCUCGAGUGGCGAACGGGUGAGUAACACGUGAGUAACCUGCCCUUGACUUUGGGAUAACUUCAGGAAACUGGGGCUAAUACCGGAUAGGAGCUCCUGCUGCAUGGUGGGGGUUGGAAAGUUUCGGCGGUUGGGGAUGGACUCGCGGCUUAUCAGCUUGUUGGUGGGGUAGUGGCUUACCAAGGCUUUGACGGGUAGCCGGCCUGAGAGGGUGACCGGCGACAUUGGGACUGAGAUACGGCCCAGACUCCUACGGGAGGCAGCAGGGGGGAAUAUUGCACAAUGGGCGGAAGCCUGAUGCGGCAACGCCGCGUGCGGGAUGACGGCCUUCGGGUUGUAAACCGCUUUCGCCUGUGACGAAGCGUGAGUGACGGUAAUGGGUAAAGAAGCACCGGCUAACUACGUG
rnacentral:rRNA from 1 species